rnacentral:tRNA from 1 species
GGAGGGGUGGCAGAGUCUGGUUUAACGCGGCGGUCUUGAAAACCGUUGUGGGGUUAUACCCACCGGGGGUUCGAAUCCUCUCCCCUCCGCCA